AAUGAAGUCGUCCACUUUUUUGCGUCAUUAAGUGCCAUUGCCACAUUAUUAGCAGGACAGGGCAUUCUCGGUAGAUGGUAGAUAAAAAGCUUUUGUGUCGGAUAUAUAAUAAACUUCAAAAGGAGUUUUUAUGAUGAGGAAGGCCGAAGGGUCUAAGCCUGUUGACUCAGUCAAGAAAAAUAGAUGUGAUAGAGGAGACUGUUGAUUAUAAUUAAAACAAAAGAAGGAAAUAUUUUGUUGUUAAGAAGAUUUUUCCUAUUCAUCUCAGAGGGACAAAAACAAUUAUUUGGAUCAUGGAACAUGUGCAUAAACUUUGCAAAAGUUUUGUUGAAACUUCCAUUUGAUAAUGAAGAUGGCUGCUGAAUAUUUUUUGUGACAAUAUCUGAAUGGAUGUAAAGAGAUGUUGAGAGUUAUUGUAAUUCACACACUGACAGGUGCAAUUUCAGUGCUAAAUAGUACAUCUGCAACAUGUUGAAAGAAUAAACACUGUUGUGCUAUAACACACUUGGAAUCAUUAUGUUUCCAUAAACCCUGAACAACUAAGUUUGGUAUACUGACGUCAGAAUGUUCAUCUGUCUAUCCUGUGACCCACUGGAGAUAUCAACAUGUUAGUGAAACUUAAUUCAUUGUAGAUGGAUAUAUCUCAUUGUGCAGAAAUGAUUUGCUGAAGCUUUAUUUUUUUUUACUAUCAAGCACUAAGAAUAGUCGAGCGUUGCUGUCCUACUGACAGCUCUUGUUUUUUAUGCCCCCCCCCCCCCCAAGGGAGGCAUAAUAUAAUCGCACCGUCCGUCUGUCCAUCUGUGCAUCCCCACUUAAUUCGUGUCCGGACUGUAACUUUGUCAUACAUGGAGAGAUUUUAAAACAAGUUGACACAAAUGUCUACCACAUCAAGACCGUGUCACGCCUAAGGCUCAUGAAUGUUUGUGUGUCCCCACUUACACAACAACCAUGUCCAGACUGUAACUUUGUCAUGCAUAGAGGGAUUUUGAAAUAAUUUGGCACACAAUUGUCUAUCUCAUAACAACAUUUUGUCACGUUCAAGAACCACGUCCCUUCUUCAAAGGUCAAGGUCACACUUAUAUUUUGAAGGUUCUAUCAAGAACAAUAUUCAACAAUAAGUUACUUUCAUUCUCUUUUCUUUUCAUAAUACCUGCAUGCUUAAGAAACCUUUUCUGGGGCAUUCGUCACUUGAGUGACAGCUCUUGUUACUUCAAUUGUCAUCAAACUUGAUCAAGAUGCUUGUCUAGGUAAUUGCUCGGAUGAGUUCUAUGAGAAAGGUGAUGUUCCUAUCAUGAUGCUCUACUAAAAUUGUUUAAAUGGUUCUUCUCAAUUGAACACACUUAUAUUUUGAAGGUUCAUGCUAUCAAGAACAAUAUUCAACAAUUAGUUACUUUCAUUCUCUUUUCUUUUCAUAAAACCUGCAUGCUUAAGAAACCUUUUCGGGGGCAUUUGUCACUUGGGUGACAGCUCUUGUUGGCUCAAUUGUUAUCAAACUUGUCAGGAUGCUUGUCUAGGUAAUUGCUCGCAUGAGUUCGAUGAGACAGGUGAUGUUGCUAUCAUGAUGCUCUUCUAAAAUUGUUUAAAUGGUUCUUCUCAAUUGAACAUCUGGGACAGGAGGGCUAAAAAUAGAUUUUUGAAAUGAAAUCUUUAAAAAUCUUCUCCCCUGAAAGUGUCAGGCCUAGACCUUAGAUAAUUUGAUCAUAACAUCAUCUAAUAAAACACUACAAAAUUAAUCAAAUUAUAGCCCUGGGGUCAAAAUUGAUGAUUUCUAGAUCAAGUUUCAAUUAUUGAAUAUGGGUCAUCUGGGGUAAAAAAACUUGGUAACACACUCCAGAUAUGGAAAAAAUACCUUUCUUACACUCUAGAGGCUACUGUUUUGAACCAAAUAUCUUGGAAAUAGGUCAUUAAGAGUGAUUUCUAGAUCAAGUUCGAAUAUGGGUCACCUUGGGUAAAAAAAAAUAAGUCAUACGGUGUAAUUAUUGGAAAACCUUGUUAAAACUCUAGGGGCUACUGUUCCAGUCCAAAUAUCCUUGAAAUUGGUCAGAAUGGUUGUUUUGAUGAUUUCCAGGUCAAAUUAGACUAUGGGUCACUUGUGUUCAGAAACUAGGUCACACAGCCCUUAUACAGAAAACCCUUGUUUACACCGUUGAGGCUACUGUUCAAGUGUUGUGAUCCAAAAAUCCUAAAAUUGGUCAGAAAGGUCGAUUUGGUGAUUUCUUGGUCAAGUUUGAAUAUUGGUCUUCCAUCUGCAGGACUUCCAUUAAUGGAAGUUUGGGAGUUAUUUACUCUUUGAUUUUGGCUUGUGACUUCCAUAAUGUAAUGCUUUUCCUUCUUUACCUAUAUAAUGUGACUUCUAAUGUUAGAUAUUUUGCAGUCUCUGACUUCCAAAUUUUGGGACUUUAUGGAAGCCCUGGUUAUCUGUGUUCAAAAAAUAGGUCACACAGUCCAAAUUAAAUGGGAUUGAGCAUUUGUAAUAAUAUGAGCGAUAUAAGGGCCAUCUUGGCACUCUUGUUUGAAUUUUUAUCUGAAUUUUUUGUUCAAUUGACUGUACAAAAUGUCAAUUUUAUAUUUUCAUUGGAUGUUUUUUUUCUACCUUAUGAAAUAUGCUUUUGUAUAUCUUUUUUGUUCGAUUGAC